ACUGCCUCUAGAUGCAUAUCAGGUGUGGAUGAUGUGUUACAAGUGCAUCAGUAGAUGGCAGUGGCAGAGAGAGGCUGUGUCUACACCCAGCGUUCUGACCUGUGGACAUCUGAAUAAUUACUAGCCUAGCAUU